rnacentral:rRNA from 1 species
UUGGAGGGCAAGUCUGGUGCCAGCAGCCGCGGUAAUUCCAGCUCCAAUAGCGUAUAUUAAAGUUGUUGCAGUUAAAAAGCUCGUAGUUGAAUUUCGGGGUUAGUAGGUUGGUCAUGCCUCUGGUAUGUACUGGUCUCACUGAUUCCUCCCUCUUGACGAACUGUAAUGUCAUUAAUUUGGUGUUGCAGGAAAUCAGGACUGUUACCUUGAAAAAAUUAGAGUGUUUAAAGCAGGCUUUAGCUUGAAUACAUUAGCAUGGAAUAAUGAAAUAGGACGUUUGAUCCUAUUUUGUUGGUUUCUAGGAUUGACGUAAUGAUUAAUAGGGAUAGUUGGGGGCAUUAGUAUUCAAUUGUCAGAGGUGAAAUUCUUGGAUUUAUUGAAGACUAACUACUGCGAAAGCAUUUGCCAAGGAUGUUUUCAUUAAUCAAGAACGAAAGUUAGGGGAUCGAAGACGAUCAGAUACCGUCGCAGUCUUGACCAUAAACUAUGCCGACUAGGGAUCGGAUGAUGUUAAUUUUUUAAUGACUCAUUCGCGCCUACGGAAAC